rnacentral:rRNA from 1 species
AGGAUGAACGCUGGCGGCGUGCCUAACACAUGCAAGUCGAACGUCCUGUCUCGCAAGAGGCAGGGAGUGGCGGACGGGUGAGUACCACGUGGGUCAUCUACCGUGAGGUGAGGAAUACCGGCGAGAAAUCGCCGACAAGACCGCAUAGGCUCGAUGCAAGUCGAGCAAAGCUCUUUCGAGAGAGGGAGCGCCACACGAGGAGCCUGCGCCCGAUUAGCUAGCUGGUGGAGUAACGGUUCACCAGGGCGACGAUCGGUAGCUGGUCUGAGAGGACGAUCAGCCACACUGGGAUUGAGAACGGCCCAGACUCCUACGGGGGGCAGCAGUGAGGAAUUUCGUCAAUGGGGGCAACCCUGAACGAGCAACGCCGCGUGCAGGAAGAAGGUUUCGGAUCGUAAACUGCUUUUCUCGGGAAGAGAACGGACGGUACCCGAGGAAUCAGCCCGGCUAACUACGCGCCAGCAGCCGCGGU